GCCCUCCCAAGUGCGCCGCCAGCAGAGGCAGGGAAGGAGGGUCGCAGCCAGGCCAGAGUGGGGGACGAGCUGGGGCCACACGGACCGAACAAAGGCAGGCGGGGACAGAACCCCGGACCGCACCCCGGCCGGGAACGGAGACCACACCUAGGCGUCUGGGAAUCAGAGGGGCAGCGCUGGGGUCCGAUCCUGAACUCGGGCCCCGGUGCAAUGCCCAGGGCCGGCUCCACAAGGGCCAGCUUCCGCCGCGCCGGGUCCUGCGGAGGGUUCCUGUCUGCAGGACCCUGCUUCCCCUCAGAGAUACUCUCUCCCCACUGAUCCCGCUUCCUUCUCAGACAAGAUUCCUCUCCCUGUUGAUCCUGUUUUAUUCACUCAAACACAAUUCAACACAGACCUUGCUUCUCUUCUGGAAAAGCAGCAAAGUAGAAGAGCGGCUGGCUCACAACGUGGAGGAGACUUUCGGAGGCUGGAAGGAAUUUUACAGACUGGCUGCCUGUAGUUCCCGCGUGUGGCGGCGGCGGCGGAGCGGAC
rnacentral:lncRNA from 1 species